AUAGAUAAUAUAAUAUUUCAUUUGUAAUAAAAUUACAACUUAUUUGUAAUGCAAUUUUUAAAAGGAAAAGCCGAUGAUGUUGCUGGUGGGGACUUUUGAGUAAGGAGAAUGUUUGUUCUCUAUGGUGGACCUGACAGAGUAGCCAUAAACAUUUAAACUCAUGAGAGUAGUUCACAAAAACAAGACUCCCACACCCAACCUAGGAGCAGACAGUGCGGUACAUGGGGGUGGCCCUCCUCCUUCUCAAGUCAGGAUGAGAUCAACAGAGUUGGGGGUUUUCCCUGUAAGGAAAGUCAAAAAAGAACCCUGCAAACUGCUUGUCAACAUAUGGGUAAAUAACGAUCUGCUGACUUUGAAAAAUUAGUUAUAAUCCAUUUCACAUAAUGCAUGCAAAGCACAGCAGGCAGCGGCCCAUAAUGGAAGGAUUAGUUUGGGGCCUUAGGGUAGUUUUUAAAAUUCACAAGCUGAUAGAAUGUUACACCCCAUAUGGACCCAGAUUAUUCUCACCGGGGAGUUUCCAGGACUCCCUUCCCUCCUACAGAACUCUGGAUGUUCCUAGUGCUGGAGAGACAGCUUCCUCCAUCCAUCAGGGCAGCGGCUGGAGAUAUUCCCCCGUGAUAGGUUCUGUUCCCGUUGGAUGUGGUGACCCAUGACACCUUUGAUCCCGGCACUUGGAAGGAGGCAGAGGCAGCCUGAUCUCUGUGAGUUCGAGGUCAGCAUGGUCUACAAAGAACCCACACCUUCUUUGCACCAGCUGCCAUUGACAGGACUGACAACAGAUGAGGAAGCAGCUGUCGCAAUUGCCGAAGUUCCGUCACCCCUCAGCUGUCUAUCUGGAGCUGAUACCCGGGAUAUUUGGAAUGGACCAAUAGGACCCUUAGAACAACUUCUUUUCUGAGCUAUCUUUCAGCAGCUGUUUGUUCCCCGUCCUCCCUCUCUAACCCCUCUCAAUCCUCCUUCCCACUCGUUUUUUUUUGUUUUUUUCUUUGAAUUUCUGUCUCCUUUUCCAUCUAGGUUCACGGCUUAAUACGUGAAAAAUUGAAAAAAAAAAAAAGGGCCUUAUUAUUUUAAGAUAAACCCAAAUGAAAACUCAGCCAUCUAACCUCUGCUAACUAAAUUAUGCAGUGUUUGUGUUACCUCCGGAUUUGUUUUUGUGGGUUAAGCCUCUCAAAGGAGAAAAAGGCUUAUUUGUUGCAAUCCGAAGGAGAAAGACUGGGAAGAAGGAAAUACAAAACAAGAGGAAAGCUGAGCCUGCGGAUCGCAUACCUAGUGAAAGUAAUACGAAAUGCAAAUCUGGACAUGCCCGCAUGUAUUUUUCCAUUUGAAAACAAACCUGGUUACAACCGGUGUAUUUUUAUUGUUUCCUCUGGACUCUAUUGCCCUUGGGGGCAAGCGCUCUGCAAGAGAGGCCAGCCUGCCCUCUAGUGGAUGCCGAAGACAUGCACUCGAAGCCUAGGGCUGCAGCUUGGCUGUCCACAGAGUGAAGCUGGGGAAAGUCACUGAGAGGGAACGCCUGAGCAACUCUCCUGGAAAUGCAGUAGAUGGAGACACACACUGAAAGACUGGAUCCCCGUGAGCCUCGCUUUCAUUUGCUCUGAGAAACUGUUCAGUACUCUGAGUUGUCGAAGAUAGAUUUGAAUUUGAUGUAUGCGUGAUGCUUCAUGUGUCCUGUGUUUAAUUUGUCAAACAAAACAUUAACCAAAAAAAACCCUAAUGUGCAGAUUUGAAGUACAAGUGACAACGAAAUGUGCCGACCUUUCACACUAUUGGCUUGUGCAGAGCUUUAGCAUAGGAGGAGACAAGGGUACAGAAGUUAGGGAGGCCCAGGUCCCAUUCUUUGGGAAAUUACCCUUGGAUGGGAAGAAGCCGUAUUUGCACAUAGUUAUAAUACAUGACAGAAGUACAACUGGAGAGGGGAAGUACAUACUGACAUCUUAUUUAAUAUUUAAUAUUUAAGAACUUUUAUGUUGUAAAUUAGCAAGUGCAUUUAUAUUCUGUUAUCUGAGAAGAAUUCUGUAACAAUGGAUUUCUUGGCAUGCAACAAAGACCUUCCUACACAGGCGGAGAGGGUUCAGAAAGGCCAAAUAAUUCACCCUAGCGGAGCAGCAGGGAAUUGUCAUCCCUGGGAUUCAAAUUUGGCUGUCUGCUUUUCCUGUCAGUUUAGUUAAUUUUGACAGAACUACACUGAGAGGCUACCAGGUACCAGUUUUGCGCGGGGGAUAUGAAGAGGAAGAUGCCAUUAUCGUUCUUAGGGUUAGUGUCCUGCAGGGAACUAGACUCUGAAGAAAUAAUUGCUCUCUGUUGGGACAGAUGCGGCAGUGGACAUGCGCAGAUUUUACCUCUGGAGCCCAGCAGCCGGCCUCCUGUCACGUGAUCCUGAUAACUGAUUAGCUGUAGUUCCCAAGGUGUGGAAAAAGUAUGUCCAUAAACAGAUGAAAAGAGGGAAGAUGGCUCAGUCAGGUAAGUGCUUGUCUUGAAAGCAUGAUGACCUGAGUUCAACCCCCAGCACCUUUCAUUUAAGUCCAGGUGUUUGCAUGUGACCUCAGUUCCAGGGAGGUGGUGUCACUGGCCAGUCAGUCUCCUGACCUAACUAACUAAUGAGUCCUAGAUUCCUAUUUCAA
rnacentral:sRNA from 1 species